GGCUUGGUGGCGAAGUGGCAAACGCGACGGUCUGCAAAACCGUUAUUCGGGGGUUCGAUUCCCCCCCAAGCCU
rnacentral:tRNA from 1 species